rnacentral:rRNA from 1 species
GACGAACGCUGGCGGCGUGCUUAACACAUGCAAGUCGAACGGAAAGGCCCUGCUUUUGUGGUGUGCUCGAGUGGCGAACGGGCGCGUAACACGUGAGUAACCUGCCCUUGACUUUGGGAUAACUUCAGGAAACUGGGGCUAAUACCGGAUAGGAGCUCCUGCUGCAUGGUGGGGGUUGGAAAGUUUCGGCGGUUGGGGAUGGACUCGCGGCUUAUCAGCUUGUUGGUGGGGUAGUGGCUUACCAGGGCUUUGACGGGUAGCCGGCCUGAGAGGGGGACCGGCCACAUGGGGACAGUGAUACGGCCCGGACUCCUACGGGAGGCAGCAGUAGGGAAUAUUGCACGAUGGGCGGAAGCCGGAUGCAGCAACGCCGCGUGCGGGAUUACGGCCUUCGGGUUGUAAACCGCUUUCGCCUGUGACGAAGCGUGAGUGACGGUAAUGGGUAAAGAAGCACCGGCUAACUACGUG